GACUGAGGGAUAGCUCAGUCAGUAGAGAAUGAGACUCUUAAUCUCAGAGUCGUGGUUUCAAACCCCAUGUUGGGCA